rnacentral:lncRNA from 1 species
CCUCGUGCCCACCACAGCCAGUCGCUCACACCUCCUCACCGGUGCAUCAAUGCUCCUCCUUUGGAUGUGCCCGAACCAUCUGAGUCUUGCUUCCCGCAUCUUGUCCUCCAUGGAGCCACGCCCACUUUCUCUCGAAAAAUUAAUAGAAAUAACUGCUCAUUAUAAAUAAAAAAAUUUAAAUUGUCAGCUUUAUACUAAUUUUUUUCUCUUAGAGUAUGGGAAUAAGUGAAUUCAUUUGUCUAAUUUUCAAAAAGACAGUUGGAUAGUCAGUAAUUCACAAAUUAAAUCCUAAUAGUAACAUUAGUUCAAAUGUUAACAAGACAGCAAGAAAUUAGGCAAUUCCUAUUUCUCUGUUUAUUUUGAAAGCAAAACGCUUUAAUAAGCAGUUUUAGUUGAAUUUAACCUAACCCCAAUCAUAGAUAGUAAACCCGGGUUAAGUAUAAUGAACAAUGUCAAAGUUAGGCAACCACAGCACCUCCCGCUAUUUAUCUCUCUCUUCUUAUUUCUCCUAUAAAAAGGUUUCCUCCAUUGAAGCUUUAUCUCGGGCUCAAUUUCCUCCACCAUUUCCUUCAAUUUUCUGAAAGAGAAUCACAUACAUUGUACUGCUUUUGGAGACUCAGAAUUUUUGAGAUAUUUCUCCAAUGGCGGUCUCUUGGAGAUCAUGUCUAUCAUUGCUAGUUGUGAUAAUGCUAGCCAUCAAUAAUGUCACUGCCAGUACCAGGUAAUUGAGGUGGUUUCAUUGUUUCAGAAGCUCAUUUUCGGUAAUGUCAAAGCAAAUGAAUUGAUUUCGUUUUUUAUUGAAAUUCCACCUGAGGAAGUUCUGCAUUUGCUAGAUAAUUUCUGAAUUUGAGUGUGCUGAAUACUCUCAUCUGCUCUUUAACGACUCGAUUUCUGUUUCUCAACUAGUUCUUAUGAAUAGAAACAAUUAAGGAGCUAAACUCCACUAAUUACUAUUUGCUCAUUGGAUUUCGAUUUUCGUUUCAAUUGCAGUCCUGAAGAAGCAAAGCAAUUUCAGAGCUUAAACAUCUCGACAAUGGCGAACAGGUAGAUUUUCGAUAUUUUCUUUUUAGCUGUCACAUACCAUUUCAUAUUCUCUUCGUACACUAUACUGGUGCAUGUAGAAUCAGUUAAAAAUCAAUCCGCAUUCUAGAAUCUAAAACGCGAUAUUGAUCGCUCGCAUAGAUUGGAUCUGGAAAAUUUUGGUUCAAUAACUCCGUUAAGACUCAAGCCCGUUCGUCCAGUGACUCCAAAUUCCAUAGGACAAUAAUUGCGCACCAUAAAUGUUCUGCUCCACCGCCACAUUAGGCGCUAAAAUUCAUUAUCUGUGUACUUCUUCCACGUAUGAAUUUUCUUUUUUCAAUGUGUAUAGAAACAAAACUAUAUAUCAGAAGAGCUUUAGAAGAAUUAAAUUCCCUCAGUCCAAGUUGUGAUUGUCAAUGUAGAUUCAUCCAAGUCCUAAACGUCAUUCAAUUUGUUUAAUCAUUACAGGUUAAACGAAGAAAAUGUACCAAACCAUGAAAAACAUGCUGUUGAUGAUCCAGAUAUGGUUGCUUCCAUGGUAGACAUGUAAGUUCUCUCUGCUUUCUCUAUCAUCAAGAUGCUAAUAUUUAAUCACUAGUAUAAUAUUCAAAAAUUUUAAGUUCUAUUUUCCUAUCAGCAUUCAUGUGUUUACAGUUAAUGAACUGUACUAGGAUAUGAAAUAAUUCAACCCUCACAUGAUCCGUACAUACCACAAAAUGAAAUGCGUUCACAUGAGUUACUCUUUAAUGUACACAGCAUUUCCCACCUAACUUAAUUUUCACCAGUCCAAUUCCCGCUGCUUGCACUCCCUUCCCA